rnacentral:rRNA from 1 species
GACGAACGCUGGCGGCGUGCUUAACACAUGCAAGUCGAGCGGUAAGGCCCUUUCGGGGGUACACGAGCGGCGAACGGGUGAGUAACACGUGGGUGACCUGCCCUUAGCUCUGGGAUAAGCCUGGGAAACUGGGUCUAAUACCGGAUAUGACUCCAUGACGCAUGUUGUGGGGUGGAAAGCCUUGUGCGGCUAGGGAUGGGCCCGCGGCCUAUCAGCUUGUUGGUGGGGUGAUGGCCUACCAAGGCGACGACGGGUAGCCGGCCUGAGAGGGCGACCGGCCACACUGGAACUGAGACACGGUCCAGACUCCUACGGGAGGCAGCAGUGGGGAAUUUUGCGCAAUGGGCGAAAGCCUGACGCAGCAACGCCGCGUGUGUGAUGAAGGUCUUCGGAUUGU